rnacentral:snRNA from 1 species
CUUCUUUCUGUGAUUGGU